ACACAAAUGGUGUAAUGGUAACAUGGAUGCCUUCCAAGCAUUCGCCCCGAGUUCGAUUCUCGGUUUGUGUA
rfam:Pseudocohnilembus persalinus scaffold229, whole genome shotgun sequence.